GUUGAGAGCCACUGGUCUAAAUGCACCCAAUCUCGGCUGAACUCAGAAGCUUAGCAGGGGUGAGUCUGGUUAGUCCUGAGACGCUUUUGACC
ensembl:rRNA Gm27781 predicted gene, 27781